GCAAGUCGAGGGGUAGUUAAGUGCUUGCACUUAAUGAGACCGGCGAACGGGUGCGUAACGCGUAUGCAACCUACCUUUAUCAGGGGAAUAGCCCAGAGAAAUUUGGAUUAAUACCGCAUAAUAGUUUGAGUGGCAUCACUUGAAUUUGAAAGAUUUAUUGGAUAGAGAUGGGCAUGCGUAGGAUUAGCUAGUAGGCGAGGUAACGGCUCACCUAGGCUACGAUCCUUAGGGGCUCUGAGAGGAGAAUC
rnacentral:rRNA from 1 species